AUCCAGAUGACGAGCCCGCAAUAGGACGAAACGCGCGUCCUGGAU
rfam:Schistosoma mattheei strain Denwood, Zambia genome assembly, scaffold: SMTD_scaffold0022535